AGAUAACCAUUACCAAGCAUAAGAGUAGCUAGCUAGCUAGUUCUUGUCUUUUUAUUUCCCAUGCCAGUAAACGACAUGCAAGUACAUAACCAGUCGAGAACUGUGCAAGACACCUAGAUCUAGAGUCUGGAGACCUUUUUUGAUCAAGCAGAGAACUUCACAUCACUGCCACCUUCACCUUCUUUUGAGCCUGAAUAUCCAUGAUGCCUUUUCACACCCUCUUCUU
rnacentral:misc_RNA from 1 species